AACACUUAUUUGGUAUUUACCUUACUGUUUUAGCAAAAAGCAUUUUAUUUUACCUGUCUUUCAGACUGUGAGAUGCAGAAACUGCAGGACAUUCUGACCUCAGCAGAUGUUCCAUGUCGAAAUGAGCAGCCUUCUACGUCCACAUCGUGGUGCUUACGCCAAUCUGCAGCCCAAGAUGAGUGGCAGAAAGCAAGGCGCCAUCACCUCACCUCAAGAGAGGAACUGCAGCCACUGUAGAUCUCCUGCCGUUAUUCGCUGCAGAGACUGCAUGCCGGAGGAGUGGCUGCCACAUUUCCGUCAGUUUGUCCCAAGUACGUCUAUUGCCUACAGUGAGACCUGUCCAGUUAUGCACAUGCGACCCCACAAACAUCACAGAAUCAGUCAUUUUGGUUUGCAUAAAUGGUUCGACAUGACUUUCAUUUGCCAAACCUGCUGUGCAAAGUAUAUCUGGCACAGUGGCCACCAGACAAAAGUGAGCUCAUAAGCAGUGGGUAUUGACCAGCAUCUGUGAAUGCUGAGACCUUGUAUUCGGUGGAUGUCUUCAGUUCAUUUGAAGAAAUGAAAACUGUUGCACCCAGUCUGUCAAGACAAGGCUUUUUGCAGAUAUUGGAGAGAAGUACUCGUCACUUUGGAAGGUUUGUACAGUCUGGGAAGAUACAUGGAGACACUUUCCAAAGGAGCUUUCUGGAAUACACAUUUUGCCAUUGCGAGUGUGAGAGAAUGGCCAGUGUAGAGCACUUCACCUGCCCAGCAUGUACGCCCAACAUGAUGGCAACAGGAAGCAGUACCGUUUUCGACAGUCAAGAGGGUCAGAUGAGCCAUAUUUUGAUGGCACCUUCAUUUCAAAGGAUGCUGAUGUCCACAAUUUUGUUGAGGAGACGAGCAGUAAAAUGAAAAGUACUGCAGGCAGAGGAAGGAAUCUGUGGAGCCAGUCAGUGGUCUGCUGCACGUGAGACUGCUAGAGGAGCAAGCAAACUCGAUGAAGAGGGCCUUGAGGUGGUUGUCUGCAGACAUGGAGUGCUACUAAAGGCCCGCAACAUGUAUAGGGGGGAAAUAUUUGUCUAUCCAGUUUUCCUGCAGAAGGAGCUUCAGGCAGCCACAAAAGGGCAGUUCUACUGCACAGAUAUUGUGUGUAAGUAUUGGCCCUACCUGGAGAAGCUGGCGGUCUCAAUGUUGGAACUCAGACCUCUCCUGCAGAUGAGGCCAUUCCUUUCGGUCAUGCAUGCCAAGGCCCAUUCAACCAAGUGUGAGAUAAUCUGGAGUGGGAAACAUCAGGAGGGUGCUGGCACAACUGCAGGGGAGGAGGUCGAAAUGGUCAAUAGCUACCUCUCUCGUUGUGCCCUCAUAACCAAGUACAUGACAAAAUCUGCCAGGAACGACAUGCUGACUGUCCAUGCCAUUGGGUGGAACAGACGGAAGCAGGAUAGCCUUCAUCUUGCACUGUCAACCAGACCUUCCAAAAGGCUGAGGCCGAGUCACAGAGACUGGAGGAUUUGAGCAGGGAACUUGGCUGUCCUGACAGUGUGGUGCAUCAGUGGGUACAUGAUGUCAGACAGUGGGCUACUGAUGCUACAGUAUUUUAGGGAAGUACUGGAGUGAUGUUGGGCUCUAAAUAAAUUGAAGCUUGAAACUCUUUAAAUGUAUAGCCUAGAAGAUGUCUGAACUGUUUAUUUAUAUUGUUGUUGUUUUUUAAGAUUCUGCAGGUACCAGAUGUGGAGACCAACACAGCCUUCAGAGAUCCAUUGAACAGAUGUUUCUUGGUGUUCAUCAAAAAAAAGCCAGCCUUUAUAAUCAUACUGACAGCAACAAAAUUCAACACCUGCGACGAUGGAAACUGGGGGAAGAGAAGAAAAAACUCAUGGAAACAAUCAAGCUCUACAAUGAGCAAGUGCUGGAAGCAGAGCGCAUCGUUGAGGAGGUGGUGGAAAGCAAACUGUCUGUAGUAGGAGGAGACAGUGGGGCGGACAGUCUAAUAUGGCUGUGGGAAGUGCACAGCAGUGAAUCCAGCAAUAUCCUCACCAAAAAGAAGGUUUUUGACGCAUGCAUGUGAAAAGUGCGGCUUCAAGAGGAAAAGGUCAUUCUGAUGAGGGAGGUGAGACAGCACUGCACCUAUCUCAGAAGGCUGGCUGAGAACAUCCGGAGAAUGAUGUCAGACAUGUCUUCUGGCAGAGACAGUGACAGCUUAAGUGACGAGGGGCAUCAAGGGCCACUGUCUUCUCCAGAAAAGGCUCGCUGAUGUGGAGGACAAGUUCCAAGUGGCAAGACUAAGUUACAGCCAGGCUUUAGGACCAAAUGCUGCUUCUCUGCUGGAGGAUUUGCCAGAGGAGAUACUGGAGGAGCAUAAAGAACAGUAUGAGAGUUCAGAUGACAGUGACUUUGAAGCUGUGUAAAUUUGUCAGGGUGCUAGGCUGUCGUCCUACUUCCUUCUUGUCUGGUGUGUGUGUGUGUGUGUGUGUGUGUGCGUGUGUGUGUGUGUGUGUGUGUGUGUGUGUGUGUGUGUGUGUGCGUGUGUGAUAUGAUACCAGGUUAUCAAAGAUAGUUAGUUGCAUGCAGAGACCCUAAGUCUGUGUGAGGCAUAAUUCAAACAACAUCGAAUUAGCAUCUAGGAAAAGCAAACUACCAAUAACUUGACUUGAGGUCACAACACAUUAUAUCAACCAGAGUUUAAAGUCCUGUGUGUGGCGUGGUGGUGAAGGAGUUAGUGUUGCGACAACGCCACCUGGGGUAAUUUCACCCCCAGGAAAUUCUAAGAUAACUUUUACUGAAUAAGGUCACACGGGUUCGAUAUACCACGGGGGGCAAGUGACGGUUUUCAAAUUAAAGAGAACACUUUAUUUAACAUAAGUAAAUCAGCAAAAAUAAACAACAACUGGACUGGACUGAUCACACUGCAGCGACAUACAAGAAAGGUCAGAGCAGACUGU